CGUAGACAAGUUUGGGAGCCAUGGCACAGUGGCUAAGAGUAUAGAUGUUAGAGUUAGGCUACUUGGGGCUAAACUCAGGCUCCACUAUUUCUGAUCUGUGUGGCCUUGGGGAAGUUACUUAACCUUUCUGUGCUUCCUUCUGUAUAAAAUAAUAAUACAAUUGUUAUGAGGAUUCCAGGAGUUAAUAUAUGGGAAGUGCUUCAAACAGUGUCUCUCUGGCACACAGUAAGUAUGAUGUAAGACUUAGAUAUUGUUACUGUUUCUUGAAAGUGUACUGUGUGCAAAGCCCUGUGCUAGAGAGGAAAGAUCUGGUCCUUGCCCUCAGGGAGCUCAGAAUCCAGUGAGAAGAUAUCAAACUCUCCACAUCAUAGAAACGGUAAAAGAAAAAGAUAACAAACUCCAAUAUGCAAGAGAUGAAACACUGUUAUUCAUCCUAGACAUUUGUUCCUUACAAAUAUAAAUCAAUUUGCUCUGCUCUCUGAGAGAUUUGAGGAACCAUUCACAAUGCUGAGGAAAGGAACGUAAACCACUGGGAAACAGUGUCAGAGUUGGGAUUCCUAGGUUUGAAGACACCACCUAGUCUCCUCUUGUGUCUGGGCAUCUGGACUUCUGCUUCCCUGGCAUUAAACACAGAUCUGGGGUGGCAUCGGGGAAGGUGGGAGAGCCAGCUCUGAUAUUUAGGAUUGCCUAGUUACAAGGAAAUCUGAUCUUAGAGAUAUAACCAGGGUGGUAUUUAAAAAUCAAUCUCAAAAAGGGUGUUGGAGACCAAGUUUUCUGGGAUUUGGAAUAACGGAGAAAAAUGAACAUUGGUGCAUCCUUCAGAAAGAAUUUCUAAGCUUACCAGAAGAGGAUGAGACAUUCUUUCAGAUUUGGGUUCCACUGAGGUAUAGAGGAAGACUCAGCUGCUCAGUGCAAAGUACUAACUUGACUUUCAGAACUUGAACAUGAACAUUUUGUCAGCCCAGAUGUGGCCCAGUUAUUUUCAAUGAUGGAAACUUCAAGGCAAUCCCUCCAUAAACUGUUUAACAUUUAGUAAAGGAUGAGUGAAAAAGAUACCAGCAUCUGUGCUAUUUUUAACAAAGUAUCAGUGUUCUAAUGCCACAGCCAGAAAUCCUUCUUCCAUUGAUAAUAAACACUUCAAAGGCCAAAUACAAUUUCCCCUGUGCCUCCAUUUCAGUUUAAAAUUUUACUUCCCUCAACUCUGACACUUUCAGGACAUAACUUUUUUCUUCACACCAGAGUCCGUUCUAAUUCCUUCUUAAUUGUCCAUUCUAGGUUCCAUUUGGAAAGCGAUCUUAACGUGGCCCAGCCUUUAUUUCCAUUUGGUGCCAAUGAAGUGGAAUUUUAGCCAAAUCUCCACCCUAAAAGUUCACCUUGAGCCACUUGACUUUGCUGCUCCUCCAUUCCUUCUAUCUGUUGGAUAAAUCACUAUAAGGAGUAACGCUGUGUCCAUAUAGGACGAUCAUUUGAAAUUUAGGUAGCUAUCCUCAACUGCCUUCCUAUAGAAGUUAUCUAUUGACAUGCCCACAAAACACGUUAUCUUUUUAAAUUUUUGUUUGAAGAGGUCUUUAAGCAACCCCCUUUCAAGAGACAUUGUUGCCUUGUCCUGUUUCCGUGUUCUGUUUCGCUUUGGAACGGAUCUGUGGUUGACCCAUGUAAGGGCCUGCUUGGAAAGAAAGUGUGUGCAAAAUCACGUGUGGGGAAAGAGCAGUCGGCCCUUGGUGCCAGCAGGGGGCGCCCGCUCUCUUCUCAGUGGAACUUGAUUUGAAAAUCACCCCCUACCAAGCGUGGCACCUGGGCCUGUGCAAAUUCCGACCCCACAUGCCGCCGUGGGAAGGACUUGGAAAGAUCCUAACUGUCCUCUUUCAUGGAGCUUGUCGGUGACAGCUUCCUCUUAGUCAAGGACACUGUGUAGAUUAAAAAUAAAAAUGUCAUGUUAUUCCACGAUUAAUUUCUCCCUGUAAACACAGGGCCAGCACACCAGGCUCCUGGUGGCACUUUCACCGCAGACCGAUAAAGCCAUGUUUGGGGCAUGAGAGAAUAGCAAUGUGCUUUGUAUUCAGAUAAAGAUCUGCGACCUUCCCUGAGGGGUGUCUACAGAGGAGUGUGAAAUAGAAGCCAGUGGAAGCUUCUCUGCUAGAUCGCUCUACUGGAAAUGCAGCCCCCCACCCUCCCAUUCAGGGUGGGAUUAGGGUGAGGCGAAUGAGACUCUCACCUGGGCACAAAGUCUAAGGCAGGAGCACAUCUGUAAUCAAACAAUAACACAAAGUUUUAAAAAAUCAAAAUUAAUGCAAAAACAUCCAUGAUGAAGAAAACCUCGAAAGCUUAAAUAAAGACGUGAUUUGACGAGGCA